CUGGCUCAGGAUGAACGCUAGCGGCAGGCUUAACACAUGCAAGUCGAGGGGCAGCGGGAUGUAGCAAUACAUUGCCGGCGACCGGCGGAUGGGUGCGUAACGCGUAUGCAACCUACCUUAUACAGGGGAAUAACCUUUCGAAAGGGAGACUAACACCCCAUGGUAUUGAUUUAAGGCAUCUUAGAUUAAUUAAAUAUUUAUAGGUAUAAGAUGGGCAUGCGUAUGAUUAGCUAGUUGGUAAGGUAACGGCUUACCAAGGCGACGAUCAUUAGGGGUUCUGAGAGGAAGGUCCCCCACACUGGUACUGAGACACGGACCAGACUCCUACGGGAGGCAGCAGUGAGGAAUAUUGGUCAAUGGGCGCAAGCCUGAACCAGCCAUGCCGCGUGCAGGAAGACGGCCUUAUGGGUUGUAAACUGCUUUUACAUAAGACUAACCGUAUAUUUGCGAAUAUACCUGAAUGUAUUAUGAGAAUAAGGAUCGGCUAACUCCGUGCCAGCCGCCGC
rnacentral:rRNA from 1 species